rnacentral:rRNA from 1 species
GAUGAACGCUGGCGGCGUGCCUAAUACAUGCAAGUCGAGCGAACAGACGAGGUACUUGCUCCUCUGACGUUAGCGGCGGACGGGUGAGUAACACGUGGAUAACCUACCUAUAAGACUGGGAUAACUUCGGGAAACCGGAGCUAAUACCGGAUAAUAUAUUUAACCGCAUGGUUUAAUAGUGAAAGACGGUUUUGCUGUCACUUAUAGAUGUCUCCGGGCCGCAUUGGCUAGUUGGUAGGGUAACGGCUUACAAAGGGAACGAUGAUUACCCGACUGGGAGGGGUGACCGCCCAAACUGGAACUGAGACACGGUCAAGACUCCUAGGGGAGGCAGCAGUAGGGAAUCUUCCGCAAUGGGCGAAAGCCGGACGGAGCAACGCCGCGUGAGUGAUGAAGGUCUUCGAAUCGUAAAACUCUGUUAUUAGGGAGGAACAAAUGUGUAAGUAACUAUGCACGUCUUGACGGUACCUAAUCAGAAAGCCACGGCUAACUACGUG